ensembl:lncRNA
AUGGCUUGUCUGGGGGAGCAGCCAGCGCUGAUGCCAAUAAUUCCUUUGGCUCUUUUUCUGCCUGAGUCAGAUCGCUCAAGCAUUAACCUUAAAAUAGCAACUAUUUUCAUAGUUGAUAUAAUUAAUCUCCUCUGUGUGUGUGUUCCUUCCCCAUUCCAGGCUCCGAUGCUUCACCACUCCCCUGCUGACCCACUCCUGCUUUGGCACAAGAAAACUCGGGGCAAAACUUGCCUUUUCCACCACAAAAGCACAACCUGCGGGCUGUGUGUGCUCUGCUCCGUGAGUUCACUGCCACACCGGUGGCUCCAGUCACAGAUUCCUCGCUCAUGUGGUCUGUCGGUUUUGGAGCAUCUUCUCGAUCUGCUUUUGGGUCUGAGCACAUCAGUGAGGAAGAUGAAGGGGGAAAAGAAAAGAUCAUUUGUGAUGAAGCACAGAGCGAGCACACAGAUCGGGGCAGACUGCACCUCGCUGCUUGCAUGCAGUGCUAUUCCCACGAGGCAGCUGCAAUCCUGGCAAUUAAAUCAAGAAGGAUGCGUUGGGGAAAACCCCCGUGAUGGCGUCUGAGGAUGCUGAUUAAAUGUGCACAGCCUGGUGAGCCCACGUGGAACAAAAGGCUGCGUGGCUGAGCCUGACAGACUCGCUGUGUCCUGGGCAAAAAGAAUGCUGGGGUUUUAUUAAACACUUUGAAGUAGAUACCUGAGGAAGGAAAAGCUUUCUGCAGACACACACUCGGCUGUGCAGCCCACACUGGUUAGGGUCCCAGCUUUUACAGUCAGAACGUGGAGCAUCGGUUCCAUCCCAACCUCCAGCGCUGGCGUGGCAGGAGGGGUAACAGGUUCCUUUGAGCAGGAACCUGCUCUGACUGUGGCAGCAACAUCAAAUAUCACCCAGGGAAUGAUCAUUUCCAUGGCUGCACUGUGGGAUCUGACAGAGGAAGCCCUGCAAGUGGCACACGUUGCUAAAUCAAAAAGCCAGCUCAGGUCAGGGUUGGGCUGGCUCUGAACUUGUCCUGCUGCAGUUGCAGUUACUUGUCCUGAGAUGUGAACAAUGCCUGAGGUCUGUCCUGGAAGAGAGAGGCAGGGGGAUUUAUAAAGCAAAUCUGCUCUCAAGGACUGGCCUGCAGUGGAUUUUCCUGUGAGCAAACAACCCAGCUCCUUCCCGGGCACACUGACCACAUCCAGCUGGGCUCGAUUGUUUUGUGUUCCUGUCGCUGUUCAGAUUUCAAUCCUGUCGUCCCCAGGAGUCUUUCCAGACUUGGGCUGUGUUUCUCUGCCUGUAGAAAUGUCACUUCAUCCUAGAAAAUGUCACUAGGAUUGUUAUUUAAACAGUAAUAGGGUUAAAGGUAAUAACUGGGAAGUGAAAGUGACUGGCUUGCAUAGUUUCCGAUUACUUUUCUCCUCUUGUCUGUGUGAUUUGAGUUCUCAGCAUUUAGCAUGGUGGAGGCAGGGUAGAGUUUUAAAUAGAAUUAUGUCCUUUCAACAUCAGUUUUGCAGCAGCAGAGCUUGUGCUAGAAUGCCUGUGCUGUGCAGGGAAGGUUUGGGACUUCACUGGAUUCUCAGCCAGGCACUAACAGGUCAUACUCUGCACACAAAAGGACACCCCUGCUGCAAUGUGGCUACAGCCCAGGGACCACAGAUGAAGGGAAAGGCUGCAAAAAUUGGAGUUUUGCUGAUGGGCAGCAAAGAAGGGGCUGCACAGGACAUUUUUGCAGCACAUUUGGAGACUAAACUGGAAUCUUCUGAGGCCUGUGUUGGAGCUGCUGGCGGGCCUUUGUCCCUAAAAGCCAUGCAGCUGCUGGAAGUGACUGGGAGGGAUGCUGGAGGGGAGACACGGCCUCACAGAGCUCUCACUGCCACGUGCUGCCAAUCCCCUGUCGCUCAGUGCCAUCCCUCCAGCUCAUCCCCCAGGCUGUGCCGCUGUGGGACGUGGUGAUGGUGUUGUUAUCCUCUUCUGCCUUAACGAGCUCGUUUGUGUGAGGCUGGGUAAUGGAGGACGAGGCAUUUUAGAAACAUCCACUUGGGAAAUGUAUCCCUGGAGAAGUGAGUGGCAGGCAACGUUUGGCUGGAUAAAAACAAUAAAGGUGCAAAGAGCAGUGCUGUGUCA